CUGCUUUCUGGGGGGGAAUGCUCUCUUGUCAGAGACCCUUACUACCAGUCAGGUUCUCAGGAGUAAGCACAGUGGCUCUGCCAGAAAGGAAGGAAUACAUCUCAAACAUGGGAAUAUCAGGAAGGAAGAGAGGUAGACCCCAAAUUCCAUUCUGAAAACAUUUUUGGAGCAACACCCAGAUCAGCACGUGUGCAGGAGAUCCAAUCUGGAGGAGCUGAGAUUUGGUUAACUGUGGAGAUGUUAUUUUCAUUGAGAUAGUAAGCGUGUUCUGCAGCAUCCAGGCUGUUGACACCCAAAGAACAAAGGACAUUUGUGACUGAGUUUAACUGAGUUUAUUGCUUGACAUGGGAACGCUAUGAUGGUGCAUCACAAUAAGAAAAAUUACAGUUCAGUUGAGACUUGCGAUUGUUAACACAAAAGUAAAAAACUGAAAAGCCCCAAAUUUGAGUUUCUCUGAUACUGAUUUCUCUA